GUUUAUACUAGAUACAAAUUGAAACACAUUUUCAUAGAGCAUUUUUACAUGCUCAGUAGAAAUAUAUAUUUAAAUAUGUUAAAACUAGUCUGUUUUAGAAUAUGGCUCUAGGGUGAGUCUAUUAUGUAGACAUAAAACAAGUGUGGUGGGUGGCUUAUAUGCUGCUUAUUUGUAGUUCCCAACAAGUACAAGUUAAAAUUGUGUAGGACAAUUUUAGAGUUUAGUAAACUAAGGAAGAAUUGAUAAUCAAGACAUCUAAUGUUUGUCCUGAUUGUUUGCCAACACACACUUGCCAGCACACAUCAUAUUCUAAUAUUUGUUUCAGACACAUCUACAACCAUUCGCCAAUCGGAAUCGAAGAUUAAUAAAAUGAGCUGAUUAGUUCAC